AUCAGAUGAGGGGCUGCUUUUUGUGUUUCGGACUUUAUCAAAACGGUCAUAUGGAAACAAUCUAAUCUGUCCUCCUCUAUGCUCGCGCGCACACACGUGCACACUGUCAUUGUACCAGGUUUUGUAUGUGUGCGAUUUUCUUAUAGGUUUGUUCAUGUUUUUUUUUUUUCUUUUUUCAAAAUCAAUUGAGAUUAUCUCUCUACCCCAAAAUGAACACUCGCAUAUGCUAAUCUCUGUGAGGGAGAAGAGAGGUGGAGGGAGGAAAAGAGCGACAGGUGUACACACAAGACAACUGGCGUCCUCGUACAAUGGCUUCAAUGGGCGUCUGUCACCAUGCAGAGUCGAGCGUGGGCUUUACGCAGAAACGCACCUCGCACGUCUGCGCACAGCUGGCACGGGCGCUGGUAGGAACACAUUCCGUGACGUUUGUCUGUUCGUAGGCUUGGAGCUCUCACGAGUGGGCACUGUAUAUGUGAGAGAGGAUGGCUGAUGUUUGAUGACUUGCUUGGGCUCUCUCCAGGGUAAUUUGUCAGUCACCUCACUCUACCUGCCUGUCUGAGUGCACAAAGACAAGUGAUGCUUCUGCCUUCGGUUUAGAGGCAAUGUUAGUCCGUCCAAGCGUGCACUGUGUGUGUUUUGUAGUUGUAUGUAUGUAUGUGUGUGAGGGAGAGAGAAAGAGCAAGAGAGAAAGGGAACGAGACGUUAAUGCUUCUGAGGAGUGAAAAACUGAAGACGGAUGAACGAUGUGGUUUUUCGUCCACGUGUGAAUGUUUGGCCGAAUGUCAUCGGGCUGCUCCACGUAAUUACAAAAACGACAUCCUUAAUUUUGAACCAAAAAGAGACGAAAUAUUUACUUUUUUUAUUGUUAUUGCGUGCAUGUCUUCAUGUCUUAGUGGCUACCAAAUAUCUCCAGAAGUAGAGGAGAGCUUUGACCUCAUGGGGACAAUUGGCUGGUCUUCAAAAAAAAAUAAAUAAAAAAUUUUAGAUUUAAGUGUAGCACAGCAUUAAUUAGCCACAUUAAUAAUUCUACCAAUGGGAGGUCCUCACAUGAAUUGUAAGGCAAACUCGUGUGAGAUCAAUAUUCUGAAUUUUCUUAUCGAUGUAUAGUUUUGUCAUGUGGGCAAGUGCCGAGUG
ensembl:lncRNA